rnacentral:misc_RNA from 1 species
CCUGCAAGCAUUAAACAACUAUCUCAGUUGGAAACACUUUGGUUAGAUGGUUGCAAGAGACUUAAAUUAUUACCAGAGCUUCCCUGCUUAAAAAGAUUGCAUGCAUCGGGUUGCACAUCUUUGGAAUCUGCAUCAACUUCAUUCCUUUUCCCAGAACAGGAAGACGAAGAUAGAAUCGAAAAUAUUCUUGAGUUUACUGAUUGCAUCAAUUUGGAUAAGGAGAAAGUAAUGGAGAAUGUAUUGGAAACGCAUCUGUUGAAACACAAGAUUGUUCGUUUGUGUAUUACGGGGGAUGAAGUGCCUCGAAGGAUGAGAUAUAAGAACCAGAGGGGAUCUUCUCUU